GAUUUCUAGUUGGAUCGGUGACGGAAUAUGGCCGGAAAAGUCAAUACUGUUAUUUCAUAUAGAUUUCUAAUAAGUGUUGGUAAUUUUUAUAAUCAACAUCAUUCGAAUUCAUUCAAUGAAGUAUUCGAAUUCAUUUAAUGAAGUAUUCAACUUCAUAUAGAUUUUUACAGCAGGUGACGGAAUAUGGCCGGAAAAGUGACGGUGGUUUGGUACACUUGUUCAACAGUAGACGCCGUAGAAGAAAUAAAACAAUAUGGCCGGAAAAGUGAUAACUAACCUUAAAUACUCACAGACGCCGUAGAAGGAACGUCGACCGCCUGAAGAAACGUCGUAGAAGAACUGAAACGUCGUGAUGUGAAUCUAGAAUGAUAACUAUGAACCAGAUUUUUCUCAAAACAAGAUCUUAAUUUAGAAAAGGGUAGUUUUGUCAUUUUAAUAGAGAAGGGGAAAUAUGCAAUUUUUAUUUAGGCUUAGCUAAAUACACGAGUGUUUUUAAGGGGAAAUAUGCGAUUAUUCCUAAAAAGUAAAUAAGCAAAAUCCCAAAUACCCCUUAAAUAUUCGCCACCAUCUUUACAACAAUUAUUCUGAAAGCAAUUCGAAGUUUCUACUGAUUCUCGUUAAUGGCGAAAGAGAUCAAAGAACCUUGCAAGAAGGAAGCAUGCGACAUUCAAUCUUGCCUCUCCAAGAACAACUUUCUUCCCCAAAGGUGCAUCAGAGUUAUUCAAUUACUACAAUCAUGCUGCGAGCAAUGCAAGUAUAAAUCAACGCAUUGUGGCUCUGUUUCUGGUCUUCUAAAGCAAAUUAACAAGUGAUAUUUGCACUUCAAACAAGAGGGUGGUAGGGAAUGAAGCUCUGUUUUUGUCACUUUCUUGAGGAGAACUAAUGAUGUUAUAGAAUAAAUGAUGACAUGGUGAUUCUUAAAAAGUGGUAGCUGAAUGGAAGCAUGUACCAUAAACAACAGGAAACAGUUUUAGAGAAAUAGUAGGAUGAACUAGUUUGUAGAAAUGGCUAAAAUACUCUUAAAACAGGCUUGCCAUUGUUUUAGUUUUCUUUUCUCUCGCAAAACUAUUGUAGUGUUUUGGUUUAAUUGGUUGAGUUAAUGUAUUUUUUAUUAAGAUCGUGUUAUAGGUAGUAUGUACAAGUAAUUGAAAUACAUGCGUACAUGUUAUGAAAUUAAAAAAAUAUUCGGCUUAGUGCCCUGCAACACGGGCGGGCAUAACA